GAAUGCGAAGCGUCGUUGGACAACUGUGUAAACGGUUAUUGUAACAACACGGAGGGAGGCUUCACGUGCAUUUGUAACACGGGCUGGCAAGGGGAAAUUUGUGAUACAGACGUGGAUGAAUGUACAACUGGCAGCGAUCUGUGUGAAAAUGGAGCCUGUAUCAACAAUCAAGGGUCAUACACAUGUGACUGUGAGACUGGAUACACUGGAAUACUCUGUGACGAAGAUGUAAAUGAAUGUAAAGGUGACGGGUCCAUAUGUGUCAAUGGUAGUUGUGAAAACUCUGUUGGGUCCUUCAAAUGCAUUUGCAACUCUGGUUGGACCGGAAUGUUUUGCGAUCAAG